AGAACGCUGGCGGCGUGGAUUAGGCAUGCAAGUCGAACGGUAGGAUACCUUCGGGUAUCUGAGAGUGGCGAACGGGUGAGUAACACGUAGGUGAUCUACCCUCAAGACGGGGACAACCCAGGGAAACUUGGGCUAAUACCGGAUGUGAGCAACUUUUAGUUGUUUGAAAGGUGGCGUAAGCUGUCGCUUGGGGAUGAGCCUGCGUCCUAUUAGUUAGUUGGUGAGGUAACGGCUCACCUAGGCAAUGAUAGGUAGGCGGCCUUAACGGGUGGUCGCCCACACUGGGAUUGAGAUACGGCCCAGACUCCUACGGGAGGCAGCAGUCGAGAAUAGUCUACAAUGGUCGGAAGACUGAUAGUGCGACGCCGCGUGAACGAUGAAUCCCUUCGGGGUGUAAAGUUCUUUUAUAUGUGAGCAGUGCUUCUUAUAUUAACAGUAUGGGGAGAGAGAUAUUAGCAUAUGAAUAAGCAACGGCUAACUCCGUG
rnacentral:rRNA from 1 species